rnacentral:rRNA from 1 species
ACGUAGGAUGCAAGCGUUGUCCGGAAUUAUUGGGCGUAAAGAGUUCGUAGGCGGUUAUCUAAGUCUGGUGUUAAAGACGGGAGCUCAACUCCCGCAUGGCAUUGGAAACUGGGUGACUAGAGUGUGGUAGAGGUCUCGGGAAUUCCAGGUGUGGCGGUGAAAUGCGUAGAUAUCUGGAGGAACACCAGUGGCGAAAGCGCGAGACUGGGCCAUAACUGACGCUGAGGAACGAAAGCCAGGGUAGCAAAAGGGA